rnacentral:misc_RNA from 1 species
AAGGAUCAUUAGUGAAUACUAGGACGUUCAAUUUAACUUGAAGUCCGAACUCUCACUUUCUAACCCUGUGCAUUUGUUUUGGUUAGUAGGAUUCGUCUGAACACCUCUUCAUUUACAAACACAAAGUCUAUGAAUGUAUAAAGUUUAUAACAAAACAAAACUUUCAACAACGGAUCUCUUGGCUCUC